rnacentral:rRNA from 1 species
GACGAACGCUGGCGGCGUGCCUAAUACAUGCAAGUAGGACGCACAGUUUAUACCGUAGCUUGCUACACCAUAGACUGUGAGUUGCGAACGGGUGAGUAACGCGUAGGUAACCUGCCUAUUAGAGGGGGAUAACUAUUGGAAACGAUAGCUAAUACCGCAUAACAGUAUGUAACACAUGUUAGAUGCUUGAAAGAUGCAAUUGCAUCGCUAGUAGAUGGACCUGCGUUGUAUUAGCUAGUAGGUAGGGUAAUGGCCUACCUAGGCGACGAUACAUAGCCGACCUGAGAGGGUGAUCGGCCACACUGGGACUGAGACACGGCCCAGACUCCUACGGGAGGCAGCAGUAGGGAAUCUUCGGCAAUGGGGGGAACCCUGACCGAGCAACGCCGCGUGAGUGAAGAAGGUUUUCGGAUCGUAAAGCUCUGUUGUUAAGGAAGAACGAGUGUGAAAAUGGAAAGUUCAUACUGUGACGGUACUUAACCAGAAAGGGACGGCUAACUACGUGCCAGCAGCCGCGGUAAUACGUAGGUCCCGAGCGUUGUCCGGAUUUAUUGGGCGUAAAGCGAGCGCAGGCGGUUAGAAAAGUCUGAAGUGAAAGGCAGUGGCUCAACCAUUGUAGGCUUUGGAAACUGUUUAACUUGAGUGCAGAAGGGGAGAGUGGAAUUCCAUGUGUAGCGGUGAAAUGCGUAGAUAUAUGGAGGAACACCGGUGGCGAAAGCGGCUCUCUGGUCUGUAACUGACGCUGAGGCUCGAAAGCGUGGGGAGCGAACAGG